UACGAAGGGGGCGAGCGUUGUUCGGAUUUACUGGGCGUAAAGGGCGCGUAGGCGGCCUUGUCAGUCAGGCGUGAAAGCCCCGGGCUCAACCUGGGAACGGCGCUUGGGACGGCGAGGCUGGAGUUCGGGAGAGGAGAGUGGAAUUCCCAGUGUAGAGGUGAAAUUCGUAGAUAUUGGGAAGAACACCGGUGGCGAAGGCGACUCACUGGCCCAUUACUGACGCUGAGGCUCGAAAGCGUGGGGAGCAAACAGG
rnacentral:rRNA from 1 species